GACGAACGCUGGCGGCGUGCUUAACACAUGCAAGUCGAACGGAAAGGCCCUGCUUUUGUGGGGUGCUCGAGUGGCGAACGGGUGAGUAACACGUGAGUAACCUGCCCUUGACUUUGGGAUAACUUCAGGAAACUGGGGCUAAUACCGGAUAGGAGCUCCUGCUGCAUGGUGGGGGUUGGAAAGUUUCGGCGGUUGGGGAUGGACUGGCGGCUUAUCAGCUUGUUGGUGGGGUAGUGGCUUACCAAGGCUUUGACGGGUAGCCGGCCUGAGAGGGUGACCGGCCACAUUGGGACUGAGGUACGGCCCAGACUCCUACGGGAGGCAGCAGUGGGGAAUAUUGCACAAUGGGCGGAAGCCUGAUGCAGCAACGCCGCGUGCGGAAUGACGGCCUGCGGGGUGUAAACCGCUUUCGCCUGUGACGAAGCGUGAGUGACGGUAAUGGGUAAAGAAGCACCGGCUAACUACGUG
rnacentral:rRNA from 1 species